CUGGAUCCGACUACACGACCCGUGAGGAAUCACAGGUGCAAAAGAAGAUGCAAGGUACCAGUGGUACCGUACCAACUAUGAUUCUUAUGACAGAACCACUUAUGGGGACGUUUAUGGCAGCACCAAAGAACUGGGUUUCUCGCGAAGGGGAAAAAUUCACUCUGACAUGGACCACCGAAAACGGAUUCCAGCCAAGAGGCGACCACUUGCCCGUUGCUCCCGUCCACGUUUACGAGCUCCCAGUUACCCCUACCCUCCCUUACCACCGCAGAGGGGCAGGUAGCAAAACCUACAAUACCUUUUUAUUAGAUUGUUUAUGAAUUUUUCGUGUUUUAUUUAUCUUAAGCUACCAUGAUCCCUGACAAAGUUUGAUUAAUUAAAUUAAAAUUCUCAAAAAUUCGUUGGAGUUCUAUUUUCUGUUACAAACGAUCCUCUUGGCAAUUUAGCUUAUUUGGACAGUGGAGAUAGCCGCUACAUCAUACCCAAAUCAUGCAUACUACCUACAUCAUACCAUUUAUGAUUAUGAAAUCUUAUGAUUCAUGUUUUUGUCUGUUGAAUAACUUGAAUUUUUUCACAAUUUUAGUGUAACCACCUUUUUCAUAUUCAUGCAACCUUGCCCACUCCCCCUCCUAUUGAUAUCAUUCAAAAUGGACGCUGACUUGUUGACAGUGCGUUAAUUAACUUGUGACGGUGUGAUUGUUUCGAGAGUUAUUCACUGCAUUUUGGUGUUUUUGACUAACUGAAUCGCUGUAAAACAGAGCAGCAAGCAGAGCAACGUUGUUUAACAAAGACCUUCCUGGUUCACCCAUCGUGUCAUUUGACAAUUUCACAAUUGUUUUGUGGUUUCUGAUACGAGGUCAUUGGGCCUAUGACUCCGACUCCAGGUUUUAACUGAACGAAAAAUUCUAGGAAACCGACUGAAACUGAAUCGUCAAUUCUUCGAACUUGCCAGGAAAGUUACGUAAUGGAUAGCGAUAGACGUAUAGGCGAGCUCGUUCUUCAAGAAUCGUGAGAAUUCGACUCUGCCCACGUGAGUUAGGAACUUUAAAGAGACGGCACCUCCAAGUAAAUCACGACGCUGUAGCUGUACGACUGUAGUUGCUGCUUUCCUAAUAAAUACUGAUUUUGAGGCAACGCUGCGUUUUUUUUUACAUGGCACAGAAUUGACAGCACCUUGACCAGUUUUGACACCUUCGAGGCAGAAGCCUAGGCGCCACCCUAUUGGCAUUUCCAUAUCUCUGACGUUGUUCGAAAAUUUCGUAGGCUAAUUGCUUCACGGUAAUUACCUUUGGCUGCUAAAACUGAAUUGCAGAUCUUCGUUCCAGCAACAGUCGGAAAAUCUCAGCCACGCCGGCUGCAUCGAAUUCGUCCACGAGCUUCAACAAGAGCAUUACCGCCACCCACUUUCUGCAUUAAACGCCAUCUAGCGAAGAAGAAAACAAACACAGAAUGCUGCCAUCUAGCAAUGAGAAAAAACAAGAGAAGAAUCAAAGACUUGACGGAAGUGACAAGAUACAACAAGUAAACACCAAAUGGCGGCGAGUUGUUAAGCAUGGUGUCGGGCUGUCGGCGAUAGUCCCAAGAUUUGGCGUGAUAUCAAUUGAACAACCCUGAUGACAAGGAUGACUUUGGGGAGGAGAGGUUGCUGUUCAUUUUUGUCUCGGAAUUUUAAUAAUUUGAUACAUCAGGCUUCAAUGACUAUAGUAUUGACGUAUAUGACCGAGUGGUUAACACGUCGGGGAAGUGAGAAUUAGCGGCUCCGGAGGAGGCCUCAACGAGGACGAUUUGGGUCACUCGGGCGAAUCCAUGGCUCGAUUUUCAUAUUUUGUUGAAUUAGUGAAUAAUAACAAUAAGAUGAGGAAUACGGAUCAGAAACAGUGUUGGAGUAAAAUGUCGGAUUUGUCAUUGAAGUUGGAUAGAAAGGAGGAGAAUAUUCCCAGUUGUUCCAGUAGUAGGAGGAAUAGUCUUGCUGCUGUGGUUGCUGCUCCGUUCGGAAUCCAUUCGAGUUAUUAAAAUUGGACUGGGGACUAACGACGUAUUGUGGACAGCUGGUAGCAAGCCAUUCGGAUUGAAGUGGAGACGACGAUGAUGAUUCGGACGUCGAGUAGUUGAUUGAUUCCACGGGUGGAACUGCCGGAGGAUCCGAAUAAAAUCCAGGAGUUGGAAGGACUUGAGUUGAAACAUACUAACCUUGUCGACGAGAAACGUAAGGCGGUGAUCGACGAUGUUGGCGAUUUGUUUCACGAGUUGAGGUCGGGACUCGUGAAGAUCCAAGUUGGCGUGCACGUCGACGGCGAUUCUGAAACCACCACUGAUGCAAUCAAGAAAGAAAUUAAUAUGAGAGACGCCAAUCAACUGGGCGAUGCGUCGGCGACCUUCUCGAUUGGGAAACGGAUCUCUGUUGAACUCUGCGUCGAGUAGCUCCAGCUGGACCUCGUCGUAAAAGUGGCGCUGACGACCUGAUGCUGAAGAAGACUUCGUGGUGGAAACAACUGGAUAAUAAUCUAAAAGUAAAAAUUAACAUUUAAACAUUUCCUUCGUAAAUAAGUGAUUUGAGUGAAGAAAGAAAGUAAAUUACCGUAACUAUUCAUAGUAAAAGAGUCAACGAUACUACUUAAGCACUUAAUUAAUUAAACUAAUGUGCACAACUACGAACAGACACUGGUAACUGACCUUAGAGGAAGGGGCAGUAGCGAGAUGUGCAGUGAGCAAAGACCAAAGAUGGAAUGCGGAAUUUCAAGUUUUGGGGGUUUAUAUGGAGAAAAUGUUUUAGACAAUUUGACCUCCUUCGCCAUUGGUUGUAAAACUAGAAAAUCCUGACAAAUACUUCCUGCCGCCGCAACCGCGCGUGGCAGGAUUAUCCUUCUCUUUCCAACUGUGGCGGCGGAGGAUUAGGGGAUUAUGACUUGGGUUAUGUAAUGGUGCGGAGUGGCGUUUUGUUUGACGAGAUUAUCGAUUUUUUUAAAGAGGAUAAUCCAUCGUGUUUAAUCUUUUCGGAAUCCCUCAAACAUUAGUUACCAAAACCUCGUCCAUGUGACCUGCGAUUGCCAAACGGCUCAAUCUUGUAAAUGGAUGUCACCUAAUUGACAAUUCUUUUCUUAUUUUUUGUUUCUUGAAGUCCAUUAUGUUGAUUCGUAUUGAUCAUGUUUUUAUAAGGAGAUCUGUUUCGUUUUUUGGCGCAGUGGAUGCUCCUUUUCAGACUUCAAAUGUAAUAAUAAUUACCAGUCUGUCCCCUUUUUACUUUAUUCAACCUUUUCGUCUUUAUUGUACGAACUUAAAUCCUUCUCGUUGGUUUUAUAGGGAUUGUUUACAUGUUUAUAUUUUCGUGAAUAGGCAGGAAAAACUGAGUGGUAAAAUAAAAAUGCCCCAUUCCUUCUAAA